UACGUAGGGGGCGAGCGUUGUCCGGAGUUACUGGGCGUAAAGGGCAUGCAGGCGGUCGGACGCGUUUUGUGUGACAGCGCAGGGCUCAACCCUGCGAGCAUACGAAAGACGGUUCGACUUGAGGGCUCGAGAGGGACACGGAAUUCCGGGUGGAGUGGUGAAAUGCGUAGAGAUCCGGAGGAACACCGAAGGCGAAGGCAGUGUCCUGGCGAGUGACUGACGCUGAGGUGCGAAAGCCAGGGGAGCAAACGGG
rnacentral:rRNA from 1 species